UCAACCAGCAUCUGCCCUUUCUUGUGUAUGGCAUUAUUUGUAUCCGUGGCAGUUGAUUGUCGCUCCCUUCAAUUUCCCAGGGGGUCAGGACAGGACUGGAGUUGGGAGGGAGAGGUGGGGGAG